rnacentral:tRNA from 1 species
UGAGGGGUGGAGCAGCUUGGUAGCUCGUCGGGCUCAUAACCCGAAGGUCGUCGGUUCAAAUCCGGCCCCCGCAACCA